UUUUUUUUUUUUGACAAAAGACUUUCAAUUAAAAAAAGGUAACCAUAUUACACACUAAGCUACGACAUAACUAAUUAUAUGAUAAUUUAGGUUAUAAAAAGUAUAAAUAAGCAAUUGUUUACUGUUGUUUAGUAGUAUACAUGUGAGAUAUAUUAAUAAAAAAACACUGGAGGUUUUUGGUACUAAAUGGUGUAUAUAAUCGUGAAAAUAAUAAACUUAUUAAAUAACACAUGUAACAUGAUGUAAAAAAAUAAAAAUAAAAAAUAAAUAACAAGUAAG
rnacentral:lncRNA from 1 species